rnacentral:rRNA from 1 species
UGUGGCGACCGGCGCACGGGUGCGUAACGCGUAUGCAACCUACCUUUAACAGGGGGAUAACACUGAGAAAUUGGUACUAAUACCCCAUAACAUCAGGACCGGCAUCGGUUCUGGUUGAAAACUCCGGUGGUUAUGGAUGGGCAUGCGUUGUAUUAGCUGGUUGGUGAGGUAACGGCUCACCAAGGCAACGAUACAUAGGGGGACUGAGAGGUUAACCCCCCACAUUGGUACUGAGACACGGACCAA